AUUGAACGCUGGCGGCAUGCUUUACACAUGCAAGUCGAACGGCAGCAUGGGUGCUUGCACCUGAUGGCGAGUGGCGAACGGGUGAGUAAUGUAUCGGAACAUAUCCGCAAGUGGGGGAUAACGUAGCGAAAGUUACGCUAAUACCGCAUAUUCCCUGAGGGGGAAAGGAGGGGAUCCGCAAGGACCUUUCCCUUACGGAUGGGCCGAUAUCAGAUUAGCUGGUUGGUGGGGUAAAGGCCUACCAAGGCGACGAUCUGUAGCGGGUCUGAGAGGAUGAUCCGCCACACUGGGACGGAGACACGGCCCAGACUCCUACGGGAGGCAGCAGUGGGGAAUUUUGGACAAUGGGGGCAACCCUGAUCCAGCCAUGCCGCGUGAGUGAAGAAGGCCUUCGGGUUGUAAAGCUCUUUCAGCUGGAAAAAAAUCGCAUCACCUAAUACGUGGUGUGGAUGAUGGUACCAGCAGAAGAAGCACCGGCUAACUACGUGCCAGCCGCCGCAGUAAUAC
rnacentral:rRNA from 1 species